rnacentral:tRNA from 1 species
AACUAAAUAGCACCUUUUUAUCUUACUAUGGAACAUCGUUUUAGAAAAGGAAAUUAAUUUAAUAGUUGAA